AAUUGAGCACCCUUGAUGAAGACAAAUAAUGUAACGAUACUCACAGUAUAUAUUCUUCAUCCACAAAAGAAAAAUGACAGCUAUUAGAGCACUUUACUGAGUCACAGUAGCAGUACUGUAGAAGAAACACUAUUCUAAGUUUGUGUCUGCAUGACUGUAGUAUUCUGCCUCCUGAUGGUCUCAUCAGAAGGAGCAGUAUAAAGAAUUGGAUUGCAGCAGUAAAUCCUGAUAGGCAGAUUAUGGGAUGCGUCGUAUUCUAUUCAAUUGUAUCUCAUUUUUAUUUCUACGCUAGUCAGUCAAAAUAGUACUUCAUGUAAAUCCGGUCCUUGGUGCGUUGAGGCACUGGUGGUUGAGACUCUUUUGAUUAACUGCAUGUGCAUUAACUAGCGAAGAAGCUUGCAAACUCCUCCGUCCAUCUUGGCCUUAAACAGCGGCUAAAAUGAGUGUUUAAGACACCAUUUUCCCGCACUGAAUAUACUUUGAAAGGCGCUAUUGACCUGAACAUUUGAACAGAUGUUAGAACCAGCCCAAGUAAUCCCUAUGUAAAGGAGAGGAAAUAAAACCAGAAAUGAUGUUCUGUAAAAAUGUGAAAAGACAUGGGGGGGAAAGUAUUGUAUAAAGGGAGGUGCAAAAAUGCAUGGAAAGCCAAGACAACACCUAAAAUCUAACUAUUACCAAAUGGCGAUCCAGCCCCUUGUUAGUGAAAAUGAACAUCAGCUGGUUCGGUCUUAAGUGAUGGCCUACAAAAAGGUCUCAAUGCAAAUGUGUGAGUCCAGGCACAUCUCAUGAUGGGUCGGAGCAAAGAGCCGUCUCAAAACUGUUGUCAAACAUAACGAUGGCACUGGCUUCAGGUUAUGAUGCUUCGGUGAAAAGCCAAUCAUACCACUAUAAAUUUGCCUCAAUCAGGUGUUCCUCGCAGGAUUUCCGACAAAGGAGUGCAAAUAAUAAUCAGAAGAGUUGUCCAAGAGCCAAGCCACCUGUGGAGGGCUUCAAAAAGACCUGGAACGAGCAGGUACAAGGAAAACUUUUAUAUAUCCCCCAUAUACGCAAAAUGCCAAUGAUCAGAUGGAGUAAGAUUCCCCAUCUGAUUGGGAUUGGAUUUAUCGACAGCUACGUGGCAAUUUAUGUUGUCAAAAUGUGCAGUGAGAGGUGUGUGCAACUUCCAAUAGGCAUGUAAACUGGAUCCUUUUUUUAUGUAAAACCAUUCACCGUAAGGAAAUAAGCCAACAAACUGCAUGGCUCGCCUGGUCCUCGUCUGUCAUCGACGAAUAACGCCGCACCCCCUCCAGCUCUCACGCGGUCUUUUCUCAUGUGGAGUUGUACAGGAAAGGCAAGGAUGGCCUUGCCAAAAUAUUUGCUUAUUGGGAGCACAUGCCGGGGAUAUAAAACCUUCCAUUAUAUCAAUAAAUCACUGCUUUUCUGAUUGA